rnacentral:rRNA from 1 species
GAUGAACGCUAGCUACAGGCUUAACACAUGCAAGUCGAGGGGUAACGAGAGGGAAGCUUGCUUUCCUUGUCGACGACCGGCGCACGGGUGAGUAACGCGUAUCCAACCUGCCCCCAACUAGGGAAUAACCUUGCGAAAGUAAGACUAAUACCCUAUAAUUUCCUCAGAUGUCAUCUGACGAGGAAUAAAGAUUUAUCGGUUGUGGAUGGGGAUGCGUCUGAUUAGCUUGUUGGCAGGGUAACGGCCCACCAAGGCAACGAUCAGUAGGGGUUCUGAGAGGUAGGUCCCCCACAUUGGAACUGAGACACGGUCCAAACUCCUACGGGAGGCAGCAGUGAGGAAUAUUGGUCAAUGGGCGGAAGCCUGAACCAGCCAAGUAGCGUGCAGGAUGACGGCCCUAUGGGUUGUAAACUGCUUUUAUACAGGAAUAAAGUUAGCCACGUGUGGUUAUUUGUAGGUACUGUAUGAAUAAGGACCGGCUAAUUCCGUGCCAGCCGCCGCGGUAA